UAAGGUUUUGAUCCAUAUUUUGGAUUUUAGAUUACAUUGUGAAUCUUUGCCCACUUAUUUAAAGAAACAGAAGAGCAUUAUGUGGCUGCAGUUGUUGAACUGAAGAAGGAGCUACAGUAGUUUAACUAACAGUGAGAUAAGUUCAGGUUUGUGAGCCUCACAGUAAAAUCUACAUUCCAGGAGUUAGAUGGUUCGUUACCUUCCUGUAGCUCCGCUGCCUGGGUGAUAUUACUUCAGACACAGAGCAGAGCAGAAGAGUCUGCUCCCAGUGCUGUUCAGCCUUCCCGAAGCCAGACAGCAGCCAGUGGUUUUCUGCUGCUUCACCAUCUAGUCAGUCUCACACACACACACACACACGCGCGCGCACACGGACACAGAGUCAGCAGUGUUCAGCCUGCUCCAUCACUCUGAGCCCCCUUCCUCUGCCUUUCAGCUGCCCUGCACCUGCUCAUGUGGAAGGGAGCUUUGCUGCUACAGCGCAUGCGCAUGUCCAUCACGUCUGUCUGGAGGGUUCCUGUGAUGAUUUCAUAGAGCAGGAGCUUGCAGAGGGCAGAAGUGUUUCCAGCCCCGUCUCCAUGGCAGCAGCAGUAACAGGACUCCCGCCAUGCGGUGUCUCUUUACCUUUAGCAGUCUGAAAGCUGAGCUGUUAAAAGUUGCAAAGUGACACAUGUUGCUACUGUCACAACACCUUCAGUCAUGGUCAGACGUUUGUCCACUAUGGAAGAGGAUUAGGGCCACCGAAAAAAAAAAA